rnacentral:piRNA from 1 species
UUGGUUAUCAUGGGGCACAGUAGUUUCUGUA